rnacentral:tRNA from 1 species
GUUAUAAUGUUGGAAUGGUAGACAAUUAACACUUAAAAUGUUAUGCUUUAUUAGCGUGAGAGUUCAAAUCUCUCUUAUAACA